CAGAAAUAAACCAUAAAAUAAAGAAAACUCUGUGGUAUCUAUAAGGAAAAAGUGCAUCUGUGAUUCUCAGCUGAGCUAAGCUAACUAGCAGGAAGGGUGUUUGCAUCUUGAGAAGUCUGCUAAGAAAUCAGGUAUGCAUGUAAUAAUUAUUAUUAGGUUAAAUACAAAAUUUAGUCCCUAAAUUCAAAAUUUAGAUAUUUGGUCCCAUGUUUUACACAAUAUUGGAGGUCUGGUCCUAACCCGCAUUUUUUGGGCAAAAGGGGCGGUUUUUGGCCAAUUUUUUUUUUUAAUUUUAUGAAUUUUCUCUUCAAUUUUCUCUUCUCACAUGCCAACUUUUCGAAAAUAUCCUCGUUCUGAUUGUAUAAUAUGAAUUUCUUUUUGAACGUUUUUAGAUUAUAUAAUCUGACGAAAAAAAACAGAAUUUUAAAAUAUAUGAUUCCAAAAAUAAAAUCUAAAACCUCUAAUACUUCUUCAUAAGAGGGUCAAAAUAGCUUAUUUUCCUAAAGAUAGAAGGCAAAAUUUUGAAUUUUUUUAUUAGGGGGCCGAAAUCGCAACAUUUUAAAUGUUAAGAGGUCAAAAAUGCACUUAAACCUAUUAAAAAAAACAUUAAAUAUGGGGUAGAAAAAUCUUUUAAACAAUAUCUACAUCUUAAAAGUUGUGAUACACCGUUAUCCUUUUAAGAACCUAUUUGAAACUUAAAAACUUAAAAACUUAAAAAUUAAUCAAACAGAUGCAUUAAAUUAAAAAUUUAAAAACCUAUUAAAAACUUAAAAAACUUAAAGAAUUAAGUUGAUAUUUUUGUCAAACAUAAAAGGAUAAAAGAGCUAUUUGACCUUUCUAUCUUAUAAAUAAGACCAUAUUUUUUUUUUUAAAAUUUCCUUAUAUACAGGAUCUGAGGGGGAGUACAUCAUUAUAGUGACAUGCACAUACAACUCAUAUAGAUGUAGCAACCAUGUCAUCUUUUUUACUUUAUUAAACUAGUUACAAACCCGUGCGAUCAAUAACGUAUUCGAUAAAAAAAAUCUUUGAAAGAAGAGAUGUUAAAACGACGGAACAUUGUGAUUCAUCAUAAAAUAUGUAUGGACUGAUUAAGAGAGCAUAUAAUCAGUUUAUGAGAUUAGAAAUUGACAUAAUAUUUAGGAUGAAAACAAUUUGAACCAAUAAAGGAACUAAUGAUGUGUGAAUUUACAUAUUAUCCAAAAUUAUAAAAAAGAAUGUUGUUGUUAUAAAGUUACGAAAAAAUGAUUGAUACCCAUAUUUACAUCAAAUGAAAUCGAGCAAAGAAGUAGCAUCGGUGAGUGAAGAUAAUCUAGUCUAAGAUUAGAGUUAAGGUGAUAUGCUGAAAGUGCGGAUUAUGAACACCAAAUCUUUAUUUGGAAACGACUUGAACGUGCAUACUUUUAGGUGGCUUCUCUAGAUCAAAAAUUAACUUAUCACCUACCUCUAACAUAUGUUCUCGGCAAAAUUUGAACCAUUGGCUGCCUAAAUAUUUUUUGUAACUUAUCAAGCGACACUUAUACCUUUUUUGAGCUUGUUUGUCAAUGCGUGUGAUUGUUUUCCGUGUUCCUUUUAGAAAAGUCAUUGAUAUCUCAUUUGAGAAGUGCUAGGUAUAAAACAAGCAGUGUUAAUUAGAAGUUAUAUAUAUGUACAUUUCUAAAACAUUUACCAAAACAUUAUAAAGAUUUACUAUAGGAAAAGAGCAUGUUUUAUUUUUUUUCUUCAAGAGAUUAUGAAAACAACAUUACAAUUAACAUGAUACUAAUUGGAACCAAUGAAGGAACCAACAAUGUGCAGAUUAACGUUACAUAAUAGUUAGGUUUAUAAAAGAGAUUGCAAGUUUCAUAGACUAACCAAAAAGGGAUUUUUGCCAAUAUUUACACCAGACAAAAUGAAAAGAACAAAUGACAUCUCAAAGUCAAGAUAGUUUACGACUACAGUCCAAAGCGAUACGUCAAAAUAGUAGAAGUUCAAAUAGUUCAACAACAAAUAUCUACUUUGGAACAACUCGAAUUUGCAAGUUUUUCUGUGACUUUUCGAGAUCAAAGAUGAGCUCCACCUUCUUCCAUCACUCGUUAUCUGCAGAAAUUGAACCACUUCCCACCCAAGUAAUUUUCAUAGCUUGCCCUAUCGCGGUAAAGAGGUGACAGUUAUACUGUCUCUAAGUCUGGUCAUCAAUGAGAGUGAUUGUUUUGCGCUUUCCUUUCAAAAUUGUUCUUGACACGUCGUUUGAGAAAUGCUAAACAUGAAAAUAACUGGAAUAUCAGUCUAAUGCAUAUUUACAUGGAUAAGAUGUAUGCGAAUAUAGUUACAUAUUAUUUAUAAAAUAAAGGUAGCAUAACUGAUUUUAAGCUAAAGAAAAUGUAGCAUGACUUCUAAUUUAUCUUCCUAUAAAGUCUAGAUAAAUGCAUGCAUGUACAUUAUAUUUACCCUGUUGACCAAUUAACAUUGUUGAAACAAAUGGAAAUUAAGCAUCACUUCUGCAUGUGCAUAUAUAGUUAGCACCAUUUGACAUUGAUGUCUUCGAACAUUUGGUGCAACUCUCAUAAUACAAUCCAAACUGGUUAGGAUUGAAUUUGGUUGUUUUCCAAAUAGUGAUGCAGUAUGUUUCCUAACACAAAUUAUGCACAUGAAAUAAAGAAUAAUGCAAUAUGUAUUUUUAAUUUGUGCAUAAAAAAACUCAAAGCAUGUUUGUGCAUAAAAAAGUAGACAUUGACUAAGUUUAUAAAUUCAGCAAUUGGCCUAACCUGAGACAGUUUGCAAAAAUCGUUGUACGAAGUACGUUGAGAAGAAGUCGAACUCUGACUUAAGUUCUAACUGAAGCUUUAACUCUGAGCUUGAGAAGUGUUAAGGUUAUGACAACAAUUCAAGAAACAUUGUCAAAAAACAACCAAAUCGGAUUGUGAACUAAUAAGUUACUCUAACACUAUAUUGUGAAAUCAUAAUGCAAAUUUACUCAGUCUUAAACUUCUCAACAACCGGAUGAUGUAGGUUGACGAGCAGCCUUGAACCUGACCAAUUGUUACAUAUAUUUGGGUUGCCAUUGACUACAAAAUGGAAGCAAAGAACUCAAAGUAAAAAGAUGGUAAAUGAUAAAGCUACGGAGUAUUUUUCCCAUAGUGUUACAUCAAUUAUAUUCCCACUACAUAAGGAAAGACAUCUUUCGCGUCAUUAUCAAACUUAUACAAAAUCCUAUCAUCUGAUGCUGACAAAAUAGAAAAUAAUACCAUUUCUAUUUAACAAUGUUUAG
rnacentral:lncRNA from 1 species